rnacentral:rRNA from 1 species
GACGGAGGAGGCAAGCGUUAUCCGGAAUUAUUGGGCGUAAAGCGUCCGUAGGCGGCUUUUUAAGUCUGUUGUCAAAGCCCACAGCUCAACUGUGGAUCGGCAAUGGAAACUGGGGAGCUAGAGUGUGGUAGGGGUAGAGGGAAUUCCCGGUGUAGCGGUGAAAUGCGUAGAUAUCGGGAAGAACACCAGUGGCGAAGGCGCUCUACUGGGCCAUAACUGACGCUGAUGGACGAAAGCUAGGGGAGCGAAAGGG